GGCGGGGGGGAGGCAGCAGUAGCAACUGGCUCUUUGGGGCAAGACCCUGCCACUGCAUUUCUAGGCUGCACUGACCUCUGUAGUUGAUCCACAGUCAGGAAACUUGACUGCCUAAUUUGUGGUAUUGGGUGGGCUACAUUUGUGUUUUCCCCUG
rnacentral:snRNA from 1 species